CGGCCACACUGUUAACUAUCCAUUUCCGUUUUUGCUCUCGCUCUAAUCAAAUGGUGAUUCUUUGUGAUAGAACGAGAUGUCAUGACUGGCAAUAGGCAGUUAACACUGUUGCUGAUAGUACAUGUUACUGUAACUUUGGAAUUUUGAUUCUGUAGGUGUUUUUCACACGUUUUCUUAAUCGCAGAUUGCUCGGUUGCGUUCUAUGCUGGAUGCUGAUGAGCCAUUUAAACCAGACCAGGCUUACGAAUAUUUCGUUAACCUGCGGAAAACUAAGAAGAAAACGACCACUACUGCCAAAGUGAACCAAAUAAAGAAGGACGUGCUGGCGAUUUGUGCCGACAAGCGGUUCGUAUGGGCGCGAAACGCGACAGUCGCCUUCGCGAGGGGCAUCCAGCAGCGACUGUCAAGACCCGGACGAUAUGCUUUAGCUGACAGGAUGUUGCGGUUAUCCAACAUAGUUUUAGAAGAGAUAUGCGGUUACAUGCACAUGAGAGCUCCUUCGCGAAGGUGUGGCCAUCCAAAGGCCAAGUUCAUGAUGGAGAUGGCGGACAAGGUAGCGGUAUGGAUUGACGAAGUCCUUGCUGAAUCAGACGAUCGCAUGCUGAUGAUGGACUAUGACGAAGAUGAAGAAGUGGAACAGAGCGCCGCCGAAGCGGACAGACCAGUGGCUCCUAGUGGCUCGCAGACGAACGCGGCGGCCACCCCUGCCGAGAGCAUGACCCCAGCGGACUCGGCCACGGCCACGCCUGGGGCCACCACGGCCUCCGCCACCCCUGAUGCACAGACCCCCGCCCAGACGCCAGGACAAACCCCAGCACCCACUCCCGGCCAAACUCCGGCUUCGUCUAAGACCAAUUUAGCACCCAAGUAACAAAAUGUUAUAGGAGCGGAUGAAGCCGGUGACACCGGCUUUGCAGACGACUUUCUGAAUAUGAUGGGAGGUGUCGUCAGCCUCAA